rnacentral:rRNA from 1 species
CCUACGGGGGGCAGCAGUGAGGAAUAUUGGUCAAUGGGCGCGAGCCUGAACCAGCCAAGUAGCGUGAAGGAUGACUGCCCUACGGGUUGUAAACUUCUUUUAUAAAGGAAUAAAGUGAGGCACGUGUGCCUUUUUGUAUGUACUUUAUGAAUAAGGAUCGGCUAACUCCGUGCCAGCAGCCGCGGUAAUACGGAGGAUCCGAGCGUUAUCCGGAUUUAUUUGGUUUAAAGGGAGCGUAGAUGGGUUGUUAAGUCAGUUGUGAAAGUUUGGGGCUCAACCGUAAAAUUGCAAUUGAUACUGGCAGUUUUGAGUACAGUAGAGGUGGGCGGAAUUCGUGGUGUAGCGGUGAAAUGCUUAGAUAUCACGAAGAACUCCGAUUGCGAAGGCAGUUUACUAAACUGCCACUGACACUGAGGCUCGAAAGUGUGGGUAUCAAACAGGAUUAGAUACCCUUGUAGUC